CCUACGGGUGGCAGCAGUGAGGAAUAUUGGUCAAUGGGAGAGAUCCUGAACCAGCCAAGCCGCGUGAGGGAAGACGGCCCUAUGGGUUGUAAACCUCUUUUGUCGGAGAACAAAACCCGGGACGUGUCCCGUCCUGCGUGUAUCCGACGAAAAAGCAUCGGCUAACUCCGUGCCAGCAGCCGCGGUAAUACGGGGGAUGCGAGCGUUAUCCGGAUUUAUUGGGUUUAAAGGGUUCGUAGGCGGACCGUUAAGUCAGCGGUAAAAUUGCGGGGCUCAACCCAGGCGAGCCGUUGAAACUGGCAGACUGGAGUUGGCGAGAGGUACGCGGAAUGCGCGGUGUAGCGGUGAAAUGCAUAGAUAUCGCGCAGAACUCCGAUUGCGAAGGCAGCGUACCGGAGCCAGACUGACGCUGAGGCACGAAAGCGUGGGGAUCGAACAGGAUUAGAUACCCCAGUAGUC
rnacentral:rRNA from 1 species